UCCCUGAUAGUCAGGUGGUUAAGAUUCCACACUUCCAAUGCAGGGGGCACAGGUUCGAUCCCUGGUUGGGGAA
rnacentral:tRNA from 1 species